GACGAACGCUGGCGGCGUGCUUAACACAUGCAAGUCGAACGCUGAAGCUCAGCUUUUGUUGGGUGGAUGAGUGGCGAACGGGUGAGUAACACGUGAGUAACCUGCCUCCUUCUUUGGGAUAACGCCCGGAAACGGGUGCUAAUACUGGAUAUUCACUGGUCUUCGCAUGGGGGUUGGUGGAAAGGGUUUUUCUGGUGGGGGAUGGGCUCGCGGCCUAUCAGCUUGUUGGUGGGGUGAUGGCCUACCAAGGCUUUGACGGGUAGCCGGCCUGAGAGGGUGACCGGUCACAUUGGGACUGAGAUACGGCCCAGACUCCUACGGGAGGCAGCAGUGGGGAAUAUUGCACAAUGGGCGCAAGCCUGAUGCAGCGACGCCGCGUGAGGGAUGGAGGCCUUCGGGUUGUGAACCUCUUUCGCUCAUGGUCAAGCCGCAACAGUGGUUGUGGUGAGGGUAGUGGGUAAAGAAGCGCCGGCUAACUACGUG
rnacentral:rRNA from 1 species